rnacentral:rRNA from 1 species
GAAUUUUGGACAAUGGGCGCAAGCCUGAUCCAGCCAUGCCGCGUGCGGGAAGAAGGCCUUCGGGUUGUAAACCGCUUUCGUCAGGGAAGAAACGGUCUGGCCUAAUACGCUGGAUUAAUGACGGUACCUGAAGAAUAAGCACCGGCUAACUCCGUGCCAGCAGCCGCGGUAAUACGUAGGGUGCGAGAGUUAAUCGGAAUUACUGGGCGUAAAGCGUGCGCAGGCGGCUUUGCAAGACAGAUGUGAAAUCCCCGGGCUCAACCUGGGAACUGCAUUUGUGACUGCAAGGCUGGAGUACGGCAGAGGGGGAUGGAAUUCCGCGUGUAGCAGUGAAAUGCGUAGAUAUGCGGAGGAACACCGAUGGCGAAGGCAGUCCCCUGGGCCUGUACUGACGCUCAUGCACGAAAGCGUGGGGAGCAAACAGG